GCUCCCUUUGGUGACACACAUGCUAACAUUGGAAUGAUACAAAGAAGAUUGGCAUGUCCCCUGUGCAAGGAUGUGACAUCCAAUUUUGUGAAGCAAAUGGGGCCAUA